rnacentral:rRNA from 1 species
AUUGAACGCUGGCGGCAGGCCUAACACAUGCAAGUCGAACGAGUGGCGGACGGGUGAGUCAUGUCUGGGAAACUGCCUGAUGGCGGGGGAUAACUACUGGAAACGGUAGCUAAUACCGCAUACCAUCGGAUGUGCCCCGAUGGGAUUAGCUAGUAGGUGGGGUAAAGGCUCACCUAGGCGACGAUCCCCAGCUGGUCUGAGAGGUUGACCAGCCACACUGGAACGGAGACACGGUCCAGACUCCUACGGGAGGCAGCAGUGGGGAAUAUUCCACAAUGGGCGAAAGCCUGAUGCAGCCAUGCCGCGUGUAUGAAGAAGGCCUUCGGGUUGUAAAGUACUUUCAGCGGGGAGGCGUUACCCGCAGAAGAAGCCCCGGCUAACUCCGUGCCAGCAGCCGCGGUAAUAC